ACAUGAUGGACAUAUCACACACUGAAACGAGCCGAGGAGUCAAUUCUUUAAUCAUCGAGGGCCAUAUACACAUCGAAAGGUUGGUGUCCUGAAACAUAACAACAUAUCUUACAAAUGUACCAUAAAUCGUGUAAAGCCAGAGUCACCACGAAUUCUAUUGUCAAAACACUGAUCGAGCAUAAACAUGUGGCAGAUGUCCGAAAGAC
rnacentral:lncRNA from 1 species